GGAUGUGAGAGUGAUCUGGCUAUGACAUCUGUCACCCCAUUGAUCACCAGGGUUGAUUCGGCUGAUCUGGCUGGUUAGGCAGGUGUCCCCUUCCUCCCUCACUGCUACACGUGCGUCCCUCCUGAAGCUGUGCGCGAUCGGUUGAAGAGGACGGCCUUCCCCAAAAGUGGGAUACAGAAAACUCAUUGCAAGAAAUAGACAAGAUUUUUGCAAAACUGAUGAACACUAUAAAUCUACACAGUAAAUUCAGACAAGCAAAAAACAUGAAAGAAGUCUUCAUGGAUGCACAUUACCAUUAAAC
rnacentral:sRNA from 1 species